AUUGAACGCUGGCGGCAGGCCUAACACAUGCAAGUCGAGCGGAGCGGCGGACGGGUGAGUAAUGCCUAGGAAUCUGCCUGGUAGUGGGGGAUAAAGUCCGGAAACGGGCGCUAAUAACGCAUACUAGCAGAUGAGCCUAGGUGGGAUUAGCUAGUUGGUGGGGUAAAGGCCUACCAAGGCGACGAUCCGUAACUGGGCUGAGAGGAUGAUCAGUCACACUGGAACUGAGACACGGUCCAGACUCCUACGGGAGGCAGCAGUGGGGAAUAUUGCGCAAUGGACGCAAGCCUGAUGCAGCCAUGCCGCGUGUAUGAAGAAGGUCUUCGGGUUGUAAAAUACUUUCGGCAGGGAAGCGUUACCCAAACAGAAAGCACCGGCUAACUCCGUGCCAGCAGCCGCGGUAAUUC
rnacentral:rRNA from 1 species